GAAAGAUUUUAGCCAACAGAUCCGAAUUAAUUAUAAAGAUACCUCUCUGGUAGCUCAUAUUUGGUGUCUUUACACGCAACUCGUAAUGGUGGCACGUUUUAAGGAAUAUAGAUGAUGAAGUUUAUGGCCAAAAACAAGAAAAGCACAAAUAGCUAUUUACACAUCAAAUUGCAUACAAGAAACUGCGUUUGAAAGGUUGAGAAAUGGGGAUUGAAGGAAUCGAAUCCGAGCAUCAACAUAGCCGGCGAGUUGGGAGAAGAAGAAGAGACACUUAAAGAAGUUGCAGGGCUUAGAAGGGAAGAGAAAGCGUCGAGGAAGAAGAUGAUGAUGGUGCUGAUAGGUACCAUGUUUUCAAACUUGGGUAUAGUAAUAUGGUAUGAUCAACGAAAUUAUUUAUAUUAUCUCUAGAUUGCACUUUAUUUUUCUAAGUUCUUGGAAUUACGAUAACACUCAAAUUAUGUUUUGCCUUUUCUAUUAAAAGCUAUUCUUUUUUAUUGUUAACAA